GAUGAACGCUGGCUACAGGCUUAACACAUGCAAGUCGAGGGGAAACGAGGGGGAAGCUUGCUUCCCCGGGCGUCGACCGGCGCACGGGUGAGUAACGCGUAUCCAACCUGCCUCUGACUGAGGGAUAACCCGUCGAAAGUCGGCCUAAUACCUCAUGGCAUCGUCUGCGGGCAUCCAACGACGAUUAAAGAUUUCAUCGGUCAGGGAUGGGGAUGCGUCUGAUUAGCUUGUUGGCGGGGUAACGGCCCACCAAGGCUACGAUCAGUAGGGGUUCUGAGAGGAAGGUCCCCCACAUUGGAACUGAGACACGGUCCAAACUCCUACGGGAGGCAGCAGUGAGGAAUAUUGGUCAAUGGGCGGGAGCCUGAACCAGCCAAGUAGCGUGCAGGAUGACGGCCCUAUGGGUUGUAAACUGCUUUUAUGCGGGGAUAAAGUGAGGGACGUGUCCUUCAUUGCAGGUACCGCAUGAAUAAGGACCGGCUAAUUCCGUG
rnacentral:rRNA from 1 species